UCCUACGGGAGGCAGCAGUGAGGAAUAUUGGUCAAUGGUCGGGAGACUGAACCAGCCAAGCCGCGUGAGGGAUGAAGGUACAGAGUAUCGUAAACCUCUUUUGUCAGGGAACAAAGGCGGGGACGUGUCCCCGGAUGAGUGUACCUGAAGAAAAAGCAUCGGCUAACUCCGUGCCAGCAGCCGCGGUAAUACGGAGGAUGCGAGCGUUAUCCGGAUUUAUUGGGUUUAAAGGGUGCGCAGGCGGUCUGUUAAGUCAGCGGUCAAGGCCCGGGGCUCAACCCCGGCCCGCCGUUGAAACUGGCAGU
rnacentral:rRNA from 1 species